rnacentral:rRNA from 1 species
UACGUAGGUGGCGAGCGUUAUCCGGAAUUACUGGGCGUAAAGCGCACGCAGGCGGCUCCUUAAGUCUGACGUGAAAGCUCCUGGCUUAACUGGGAGAGGUCGUUGGAAACUGUGGGGCUUGAGGCAAUGAGAGGGGUGUAGAAUUCCCGGUGUAGUGGUGGAAUGCGUAGAUAUCGGGAGGAAUACCAGUGGCGAAAGCGGCACCCUGGCAUUGGCCUGACGCUCAUGUGCGAAAGCGUGGGGAGCAAACGGG